GGCCUAACACAUGCAAGUCGAACGGCAGCGCGGGGCAACCUGGCGGCGAGUGGCGAACGGGUGAGUAAUAUAUCGGAACGUACCCUGGAGUGGGGGAUAACGUAGCGAAAGUUACGCCAAUACCGCAUACGAUCUAAGGAUGAAAGUGGGGGAUCGCAAGACCUCAUGCUCCUGGAGCGGCCGAUAUCUGAUUAGCUAGUUGGUGGGGUAAAGGCCUACCAAGGCAUCGAUCAGUAGCUGGUCUGAGAGGACGACCAGCCACACUGGAACUGAGACACGGUCCAGACUCCUACGGGAGGCAGCAGUGGGGAAUUUUGGACAAUGGGCGAAAGCCUGAUCCAGCAAUGCCGCGUGAGUGAAGAAGGCCUUCGGGUUGUAAAGCUCUUUUGUCAGGGAAGAAACGGUGAGGGCUAAUAUCCCUUGCUAAUGACGGUACCUGAAGAAUAAGCACCGGCUAACUACGUGCCAGCAGCCGCGGUAAUACGUAGGGUGCAAGCGUUAAUCGGAAUUACUGGGCGUAAAGCGUGCGCAGGCGGUUUUGUAAGUCUGUCGUGAAAUCCCCGGGCUCAACCUGGGAAUUGCGAUGGAGACUGCAAGGCUAGAAUCUGGCAGAGGGGGGUAGAAUUCCACGUGUAGCAGUGAAAUGCGUAGAGAUGUGGAGGAACACCGAUGGCGAAGGCAGCCCCCUGGGUCAAGAUUGACGCUCAUGCACGANAGCGUGGGGAGCAAACAGGAUUAGAUACCCUGGUAGUCCACGCCCUAAACGAUGUCUACUAGUUGUCGGGUUUUAAUUAACUUGGUAACGCAGCUAACGCGUGAAGUAGACCGCCUGGGGAGUACGGUCGCAAGAUAAAACUCAAAGGAAUUGACGGG
rnacentral:rRNA from 1 species